rnacentral:rRNA from 1 species
UACGUAGGGUGCAAGCGUUGUCCGGAAUUAUUGGGCGUAAAGAGCUCGUAGGCGGUCAGUCGCGUCUGCUGUGAAAACUCGGGGCUUAACCCCGGGCCUGCAGUGGGUACGGGCUGACUAGAGUUCGGUAGGGGAGACUGGAAUUCCUGGUGUAGCGGUGAAAUGCGCAGAUAUCAGGAGGAACACCGGUGGCGAAGGCGGGUCUCUGGGCCUUACCUGACGCUGAGGCGCGAAAGCUAGGGGAGCAAACAGG